rnacentral:rRNA from 1 species
AUGCAAGUCGAACGAAGUAGCAAUACUUAGUGGCAGACGGGCGAGUAACAUGUGGGUAUCUACCCCUUUUGCCUGGAAUAACACGAGGUAACUUGUGCUAAUACCGGAUAAGUCUUUUACGGAGAAAAGCUUUUAUGCACCCAUUGGAUGAGCUCGCACUUGAUUAGUUUGUUGGUAGGGUAAUGGCCUACCAAGACUAUGAUCAAUAGCUGAUUUGAGAGGAUGAUCAGCCACAUUGGGACUGAGACACGGCCCCAAACUCC